rnacentral:rRNA from 1 species
UAAGACUGGGAUAACUCCGGGAAACCGGGGCUAAUACCGGAUGGUUGUUUGAACCGCAUGGUUCAAACAUAAAAGGUGGCUUCGGCUACCACUUACAGAUGGACCCGCGGCGCAUUAGCUAGUUGGUGAGGUAACGGCUCACCAAGGCAACGAUGCGUAGCCGACCUGAGAGGGUGAUCGGCCACACUGGGACUGAGACACGGCCCAGACUCCUACGGGAGGCAGCAGUAGGGAAUCUUCCGCAAUGGACGAAAGUCUGACGGAGCAACGCCGCGUGAGUGAUGAAGGUUUUCGGAUCGUAAAGCUCUGUUGUUAGGGAAGAACAAGUACCGUUCGAAUAGGGCGGUACCUUGACGGUACCUAACCAGAAAGCCACGGCUAACUACGUGCCAGCAGCCGCGGUAAUACGUAGGUGGCAAGCGUUGUCCGGAAUUAUUGGGCGUAAAGGGCUCGCAGGCGGUUUCUUAAGUCUGAUGUGAAAGCCCCCGGCUCAACCGGGGAGGGUCAUUGGAAACUGGGGAACUUGAGUGCAGAAGAGGAGAGUGGAAUUCCACGUGUAGCGGUGAAAUGCGUAGAGAUGUGGAGGAACACCAGUGGCGAAGGCGACUCUCUGGUCUGUAACUGACGCUGAGGAGCGAAAGCGUGGGGAGCGAACAGGAUUAGAUACCCUGGUAGUCCACGCCGUAAACGAUGAGUGCUA